GCAGUGGUGAUUCAGUGGUAGUAUUCUCGCCUUUCAUGUGGAAGACCCGGGUUCAAAUUCCAGCCAAUGCA
rnacentral:tRNA from 1 species